rnacentral:misc_RNA from 1 species
GCCACUCUUGGUCGUCAAAAUCACACCACUCUUCAAUUUUGGGCACUGUAAGCACCUCAGUUAGAUACUUGGUAUCAGGAUGGGGUUGUUUCCUAAACACUUUAGCUAUUUGAUCAGCCUGUGCGGUCGUGAGCAAAGACUUUGCUGUAGGAAUGGACAGUGGCUGUGUUGCUGAGGCGAUAGAUAAUGCCUGAGCUUCUAUUACACCAUUUAUCUUGCAUUCUUUACCAUCAACCUUAAGAUUAUUGACCGCCCUAUGCCUAUCAGAUAUCAAUGGAAUAGAAGUUUGAGGAGUUUCCAAUAUCUUUCCAUUUUCCAUCAAUGGAUGAGAGGAAGUAGGUCUUGGCAUCUUACUGGGCUUAAUGUCAUUAGCAUUAAAGAAUCCGUUUGUGUCCGAGUCCUUUCGUUUCCUUGGAUUUCCCUCAGUGACACCACUCUUAGUGUUCUCCUUGGGAAGAUGAGAAGCUUUUGCAUUAUGGAUAGCUGUAUGGUCUACCUUGUUGUUUUCUUUUAAUUUAUCCAGCUCUGGAAUUUUAUGUUCAUUUUUCUUCUUUGCUUUCUCCUCCUUUUUCUUUUCUUUGUCC